ACGCUCGACACCUACGGGAUGCAGCAGUGGGGAAUAUUGCACAAUGGGGGAAACCCUGAUGCAGCGACGCCGCGUGGAGGAAGAAGGUCUUCGGAUUGUAAACUCCUGUUGUUGGGGAAAAAGAGGAUGGUACCCAACAAGGAAGUGACGGCUAACUACGUGCANCNCGCCGGUAGUAUNGNGGCGGNGNGAGAG
rnacentral:rRNA from 1 species